UACGAAGGGGGCUAGCGUUGUUCGGAAUUACUGGGCGUAAAGCGCACGUAGGCGGGUUUGUAAGUAGGGGGUGAAAUCCCAGAGCUCAACUCCAGAACUGCCUUUGAUACUGGCGAUCUUGAGUCCGGGAGAGGUGAGUGGAACUGCGAGUGUAGAGGUGAAAUUCGUAGAUAUCGAGAGGAACACCGGUGGCGAAGGCGGCCUUCUGGACAGUGACUGACGCUGAGACGCGAAAGCGUGGGGAGCAAACAGG
rnacentral:rRNA from 1 species